UCUCUUCCAUAGCUUAUAGUAGUAAUAUAAAAUAACUAAAGCUAGUAUAUAAAAAACACUCAACUUGCCAAAAAAAUAAAAAAUAUAGCCCUUAACUUGAUUAGUAUACACAUUUUUACAAAGAAUCAAGGCAUGCCAUUUUUACUGUUUAUAACUGCAUGUUACAAAUGUCAUUACUAACAUCAGUAUGUUCUCCUUGCAGUUUUCUCAGCCAUUCACUGUCAGACAGUAAUCUGCACUAGUUUUCUUCAAAUUGAGCUAGUUUAGGAUUUCUGGCCAAUGAUGAUAUAUUCUGGUUCAGCUGUUGCAAAUUGACCACUGCAGCAGUAUGCACUGAUGCACCAUAUUUACCUUUUGGUUUUAUUGUUUUUUGCCACCUGAUGCUCCUUUUGCUGAAAGUGUAAAAUCCACAAGGCAGACACAUCAGGAAUUUGUUUCUCUUUCGACUUUACUUGGUUCAAAUGAUUAAAAGAAAUCAAUCUGAGGCGGAUCAAAUUUUUGCAUGGUCUCUUCGACGCAAAUGAUAUAUAUGAAUUAUUCUAAGGCCUUCUUUUUUCCUGGAUGUUCUUUUCUGGUGCAAAGGAUAUGUGCAUGAAUCCAUCUGAAACUCAUCGGCUGGUAGAGCCUUGUGCAGAAUAAAAUCUGAGGCCAGAUGUAGCUUAGCUCUUUUUGUUUCACUUUUGUUGUUUGGGGUUCAGUGCUUGGUUCUCUUGGUUUUCUUUUGACUGCAUGGUAGUUUCUGGUUUUGCAUGAGGUUAUUAUUGUUUUUUUACAGGUUAUUGGCAUGCUUCUGUUCGGUUGGCGUCACCUGUUCUUCUGGGUGCAGUUUGUAGUUUGGUGGGCGCCAGUGGCUGCUGCUGCCGAAUAUCGAUAUUUUGGUGAGCUAUUUUUUUUCUAGAUGUCUUGGUUGUUCUUCAAUAUUUUAUGAUUGGAGUUUUUUUGCGGUUUCUGAUGGAUUACAAUUUCCCCCCCGAGAUCUCACCAUCCAAGGAGCUCCAGACGCGUGCUAGAAGGACCUCGCCAUUGCUCGUCUUUCCUGGUUGCCUGGCAGGAUAUGUACCUACUUUUUCUUCGGCAUUAUGGCAUGGCGACUGCAGGGAUCUUCUCUGGUUGUUCGGUUAGGUUUGCAACUGACUUUUCUCCAAUCUUUCUGGGAGAAUUACACAUUCUUUUCUUCCCUAUUUCUCUGAUUUGUUAUUUCUGCAGUUUUAUUUCUUGAUUGUUUGUUAUUGGGAGGAACUGCUAUUGUCAGAGAGGGAGGUGUCACCCCCUGCGUUUCUUUGUUCAGCCCUCAGUACACAGGCAAAACUCGGUUAUUCUGGAUCCUAACCUUGGGCUAACCUCUCUCCUACUCUUGCUCUUUAUGUGUGUGUCCUCACUUAUUCUUCAGUUCGUUACCUUGCAGCCAGUAUUAUAUUGAUACUAAAUCCAUGAUAGGUACGCGAUCCCUGAUCUCAACGACCUAAAAUAUUCUUUUGGAAUAUGAAUCGAAUAAGCAUCACCAUGUUUUCCUCCUGUAGGAAAAAUAUUUAGUAUCAAUUCCUAUUCUACAGUUAAAGAAUAUGUUGAAAUUCAGUUGUCCUACAAGCUCCUUAGUGUCCUUAGAUCGGUUUGUUUUUCGGGGAGGCCGACCCCAUGCUUUCUAGCUUAUCUCGUUCUUUGAUCUUAUCUCGGCUAAGCUGUAUGCUGCAGCAUGUAAUAGCGCUUGUGAACCUCGUGGCUUCAUUAAUUUAAAGUCGGGCAUUUCAUGUCUGUUAUCUAAAAAAGAAUCUGAAAAAGGUUAAUUUCACUUCUCUGGGCGAUUUGUUUUAUGCUUUCCUUCCUUUUGCCGAUUAUGGUAAUUCAGUUGUCCACCUAAAAAACUUAUACUCUAUGCCAGUAGUUGAGACAAGCAUUUUAUGACCUUUCUUUUGUCAUCCGUGAGGUCGUAAUUUGAUAUUGUGCACCAUCCCUCUAUUGGUCCCACAAUAUGUUAUGUUAUAUAUGUAUUUAGAGCUUUGUCUCCUUUUGCUUGCAAACUGUUUUAUGUAGGUUUGGGCCAUACUUCUGCCAGCCAAUUAUUGCCGGGCUAGGAGAAAAUGAUCAGCCAUUUAUAUGUACCAUGGAUUUGUAUUGGUGCCAAGUUUGGGCCAUACUUCUGUCAGCCAAUUAUUGCUGGGCUAGGAUUUCACGAUCAGCUAUUUAUACGUACCAUGGACUUCAUUGGUGCUAACUGCUAAUGCUUCAUGGCAAGUCCCUUGAAACAUGAUAUUGAUUCUUGUGAACCCUAAUGGUGGCUUCUUGUCUGGCUAUUAUAUCUGUAGCAGGAACCUGAAGAACUAGUUGAGGCAAUCUCACACAAGCAUCACUAUCUUCUGUUGGCCAUGAUUGGCUUGGUGGCGGGGGAGGUUAUGUUCUCAGUGGAUUUUCGGAUUUUGGCCUUGCAGUUAUAGGUGUAAAUCGCAGCAAAGGUAAUCUGAAGCUUCCCUGAACUUUGGGCUAUUUUGCUCCUGAGUACUUAUCAGAUGGUCUGUCCUUUUCUUCUUGUUCUUCAUCUGCAAUCUACUUUCUACUGUAAACAUUGAUGAUGUCCUAUUUUGUUACGUGCAACUAUAUUCAUACAGGGAAGUUGACUGAGAAGAGCGAUGUAUAUGUAUGUGCUGGGUGUAGGGCUUCUGGAGCUUUUAUUGCGAAGGAGGCCAAUUGAGAAGAUGGCACCAUCUCAAUGCCAAUCAAUUGUUGCAUGGGUAUUCUAAAAAUUAG